UGAAAUACAAAAGUGGCGCUCUGCGUUUGAAAAGGAGCCGUUCAUACCUCCUGGCAUGACACCUGAACCCAAGUUUGUGGUCAGUUAUCUUCAGAACCUCAGAUCAUCUGAGGAGUCCUUGCGUGAACAGUUGGAAAGAGCAAAGAAAAAGGAGGCUGCAUUUAUUGUAACUUUUGCCAAAAGAGAGCAGGAGAUCGCAGAGUUGAAGGUAAAGUUGUCCAUGGACUUCGAAUGAUAGAUUGCAUCUAUUAUAUAUUAAUUUUG